rnacentral:rRNA from 1 species
UUCCGGUUGAUCCCGCCGGAGGCUACCGCUAUUGGAGUUCGAUUAAGCCAUGCGAGUCGCGAGUCUUAGGGACUCGGCGUACCGCUCAGUAACACGUGGGUAACCUGCCCUAUGCUGGGGGAUAACCUCGGGAAACUGAGAAUAAUACCCCAUAGUUCACCACGCCUGGAACGGUGGGUGGACCAAAGCUCCGGCGGCAUAGGAUGGGCCUGCGGCGUAUCAGGUUGUAGGGGGUGUAAUGUACCCUCUAGCCCUCUACGCGUACGGGUGUUGAGAGACAUCGCCCGGAGAUGGAUUCUGAGACACGAAUCCAGACCCUACGGGGUGCAGCAGGCGCGAAAACUUGGCAAUGCGAGAAAUCGUGACCAGGGAACUCCAAGUGCAUCGGGUAAGACCGAUGCUUUUCUUGACUCUUCAAAGGUCUUGGAAUAAGGGGUGGGUAAGGACGGUGCCAGCCGCCGCGGUAAUACCGGCGCCCCAAGUGGUAGUCGCUUUUAUUGGGCCUAAAACGUCCGUAGCCGGUCUGGUACAUUCGUGGGUAAAUCAACCAGCUCAACUGGUUGAAUUCUGCGAGCACGGCCAGACUUGGGACCGGGAGAGGUGUGGGGUACUCUCAGGGUAGGGGUAAAAUCCUGUCAUCCUGAGGGGACCACCUGUUGCGAAGGCGCCACACUAGAACGGAUCCGACGGUCAGGGACGAAGCCUAGGGGCACGAACCGGAUUAGAUACCCGGGUAGUCCUAGGUGUAAACGCUGUGGACUUGAUGUUGGGGGCGCUCCGAGCGCACUCAGUGUCGAAGCGAAGGUGAUAAGUCCACUGCCUGGGGAGUACGGUCGCAAGGCUGAAACUUAAAGGAAUUGGCGGGGGAGCACCGCAACCUGAGGAUUGUGCGGUUUAAUUGGAAUCAACGCCGGA